ensembl:lncRNA
AUAAAAUUGAUGGAAAGAUUUAAAAAAGAUGGAGAAAACACAAGAAAAGUAUUAAAGCAGUUUUAAAAGAGUGCCUUAGGAGUGCCUUUGCACUGAUUGAUAAAAGUAAGUGAUUAGUAUAGAAAGAAAAUGAAAAUAAUUCAAUAAUGUGAUAAGGUUUAAACAUGUAUUUCUCUUGUCAAGUUGGCUGUUGAGCUGUGAGUCUAUGCAAAUUAGCUGGAGCAGAGACACUUCCUGUGUGCGUGUGUGUCGGAGGCUUUCAGUUCAAGAGAGAGCGGUGGCUGUUGAAGAUUAUUUGGCGAAAUAUAUAAUGCUCGGGACCAGUACUCCUGCUGUUGGACAGAAAGACAUCAACUUGAGAUAUGACUGCACUAUGCUGUUCCUGGUGACCACAGUUAAUUCUACAAGACAUGCUGUGACACCAGGAGAGACAAGUCCUCCGUCACAGAUGGUGUGGUCAGUGAAGAUGGUCGCCUGCAGGCCUGGGUCGUGUAGCAGCCAACAACUCCCCCAGAGAGGCUGUCCUGGUGAGGGAGAAGUUCAUGGCCCACUUCUCG